rnacentral:tRNA from 1 species
GGGCGCAUAGCGCAGUGGUAGCGCGUCCGCUUUGAAAGCGGAAGGCCCCGGGUUCAAUUCCCGGUGUGUCCA